AACAGGAUUAGAUACCCUGGUAGUCCACGCCGUAAACGAUGUCGACUUGGAGGUUGUUCCCUUGAGGAGUGGCUUCCGGAGCUAACGCGUUAAGUCGACCGCCUGGGGAGUACGGCCGCAAGGUUAAAACUCAAAUGAAUUGACGGGGGCCCGCACAAGCGGUGGAGCAUGUGGUUUAAUUCGAUGCAACGCGAAGAACCUUACCUACUCUUGACAUCCACGGAAUUCGGCAGAGAUGCCUUAGUGCCUUCGGGAACCGUGAGACAGGUGCUGCAUGGCUGUCGUCAGCUCGUGUUGUGAAAUGUUGGGUUAAGUCCCGCAACGAGCGCAACCCUUAUCCUUUGUUGCCAGCGAUUCGGUCGGGAACUCAAAGGAGACUGCCGGUGAUAAACCGGAGGAAGGUGGGGAUGACGUCAAGUCAUCAUGGCCCUUACGAGUAGGGCUACACACGUGCUACAAUGGCGCAUACAAAGAGAAGCGACCUCGCGAGAGCAAGCGGACCUCACAAAGUGCGUCGUAGUCCGGAUCGGAGUCUGCAACUCGACUCCGUGAAGUCGGAAUCGCUAGUAAUCGUGGAUCAGAAUGCCACGGUGAAUACGUUCCCGGGCCUUGUACACACCGCCCGUCACACCAUGGGAGUGGGUUGCAAAAGAAGUAGGUAGCUUAACCUUCGGGAGGGCGCUUACCACUUUGUGAUUCAUGACUGGGGUGAAGUCGUAACAAGGUAACC
rnacentral:rRNA from 1 species